UUCCUCAUCAAGUUCCACGAGAUGCAACGACAACAUCAUGGUGUUCGCUCUGAAGGAGCCCCAUAUCUAACCUGUCUCGCCUCUCAGGGAGAGAGGAUGCAGAUCCUGCAGAACUUUAAACACAACCCCAAGAUCAACACCAUCUUCAUCUCCAAGUCUCUCUCUCAGUCUCUCUCUCUGUCUCUCUCUCUCUCGUCUGUCUCUCUGUCUGUCUCUCUGUCUCUGUCUCUCUCUCUCUCUCUCUCUCUGUCUCUCUCUCAGUCUCUCUCUCUGUCUCUCUCUCUCUCUCUCUCUGUCUCUGUCUCUCUCCAUUGUCCCCAGGUAGGGGACACGUCCCUUUGACCUGCCAGAGGCUAAU
rnacentral:lncRNA from 1 species